rnacentral:rRNA from 1 species
AGUAAUGUAUGGGGAUCUGCCUGAUGGCGGGGGAUAACUACUGGAAACGGUAGCUAAUACCGCAUAAUGUCUACGGACCAAAGCGGGGGACCUCCGGGCCUCGCGCCAUCAGAUGAACCCAUAUGGGAUUAGCUAGUAGGUGAGGUAACGGCUUACCUAGGCGACGAUCCCUAGCUGGUCUGAGAGGAUGAUCAGCCACACUGGGACUGAGACACGGUCCAG